UACAGAGGUCUCAAGCGUUGUUCGGAUUCAUUGGGCGUAAAGGGUGUGUAGGUGGCGCGCUAAGUCGGGUGUGAAAUUUUGGAGCUUAACUCCGAAACUGCAUUCGAUACUGGCGUGCUUGAGGACUGGAGAGGAGACUGGAAUUCAUGGUGUAGCAGUGAAAUGCGUAGAGAUCAUGAGGAAGACCAGUGGCGAAGGCGGGUCUCUGGACAGUUCCUGACGCUGAGGCACGAAGGUCAGGGGAGCAAACGGG
rnacentral:rRNA from 1 species